CCCAAUGCUUUUGUGCUCGAGUAGCUUGCAUCUUCACGGCCACCAAAUGCGCAGGUGAGUCCCCAACCAUUUCUCUCUUGCCUUUGAGGUUGCAUCUAUCUGUCAGACAUGGCCCUUUCCCCCACCUGCCCUCCUCACUCCAUGGCAUCUUGCUCUUGUCUCUAGGGUGCUAUGUAUUCUGUACACCUAAGACUGCUAAUUUCAUCUAGCCAUAGUAUGUAAUUAGUAAUGAGAUGCAUAAAGCUUACUGGUGCAUUACAUGUUCAUUAAAUUUUGACAGGACGGUAGUUCAAUUUUCUGCGGAUGAGUCCUUGUCGGAUGGAUGGUGACUAAUGAGAUGCAGUUCUUUGUCUCAAUAAUUUUAGUAAAGGGAUUCUGUACAAGGUAAGAUUACCAGGCAUAGCGGCAAUGCAGCUAGCAAGUGCUCCAGGAUUUCAUGUUGCUAGAUUUGCCGCAGAGGCAAAUGCAUGACUUACUUGCUUUUGACUUUCAUAGUGUUCAGAUCUUUUCUUGUGACAAGGAUGCACAAAAUCAAGUUUUUGCCGGCAGUAGUUUCUUUCGCUGUUCAACUGAUCUGUUCCACUGGAACAAGGGGUCCACUGGACUUCUUAUUGUUUCCCAGCCUGAUGUGGUGGCUCGUUGUGUCUGUGGUCGCUUUUGUAUCUAUGUGAGGUCGUAGGGGACGGGUCUGUCCUUACCCCUUACUGGGUUAUUGCUCGACCUUUCGGGGGACUGUUCUGGUCUAGUGCUAUGAAGGGAGUUCUUUUGGAGCUCUGCCUCGUGUUGUUUCAUGAACGCCUAUGAACAAGAUGCUCUACAUGCCAUACGUAAUUUACGAGGUCUACACACUGUCAUUAUGUUGACCAUGUGUGACAAGGGCUAGGCAAAUAUUUAUCAUGUAGAAUGUGUUACCAGUUCUUAGCAUGCACCAAUUAUUUUAUUUUGCGUUUUUAAUGCAUCGCAUGAUUUCUUUUAUAACAAGACACCCUCCAAAGCAAUUCCACAGAGGCAGCGAGAGGUGUUCUCUCUAUACCUGUUUUUCCCCAUAUCUCUGGUUUUGAUUUCCUGAUAUACAGUUUAUAUAAAUACCACAAUAUGCCAGAUAUGAAAGAGAAAAGCGACAGAAGAAUCCAAUGGAAGAAUUUGGUGAAGAACAAGGUGCCUCUCUCUCUUUCUCAUGUGAACAUAGUAAGUUUAUUCCUGCACUUUGAUGUUACGAUUCAUGCUAAUGUAAACAUGAAUUGUGCACCUGGUACAGAACAGACUAUGCAUUGGAGGUUCAGAACCAAUUUCUAUGGGUAUGUACAAGCUGUUUUUAUUGCAUCUUGGUUUUAAAUUGGUGAAUUAGCAUAGCAUAUUGAAUGUUGAGCUUUAUUUCAUCUACAAUUGGUUCUGAACAUGUGUGCUUUUAACAAACUUUGUAUUCUUCUCUAUUUUGAAGAGCCCACAAAGAGACAAAAAAAUGGUGAUAGGUUCCUUUCUGUGGUUUAAGAACUCUGGGACUAGGCCAAACUAACUUUGUUGAACGAAUAACUUCCUCAUCUUAAAAUACAUUUGUGUUCGGCUGAUUUCAAGAUAAAUGUUUGAUCAUUGUCAGAUGAUCAACAUAUGGAUGUUAGUGAGAUUCAAGGGAAAGCGCGACACGACUGUGCCUUCUAUAAGCAAAGCUGAGCUGUUGAGGUAAUUGAUCUUUAGGUGCCUUCGAUAAGCACGCGACACAUCUGUAUGUUCUAUUCAUGUGGUUCCUUAUAUAAGUAUAUCUCAGCAAUAUGUGUCUUGUUUUACUUUUGUCCACGGUGACUAUGGCUGCAUUCUUGGCUUCAGUUAUUAUGUUUGAGUGUAAAAUUGGUUUUCUGAACUGAUGAAUAUGCUAAUUCAUCACUUGUCUCAUUUCUUCUUGCAAAUAGUUUCUACUCCAUGUGGAUAUGAGCUGCUAAGUUUUUUCAGUAACAAGUGUCCAUGUAAUUUUCUUUUGCUCGAGGCAGAUCAUAGCUUUUACGGUUUUAGAGGUGUUGCAAUAUUGAUUUCAGUUGUUCUCGUAUAUGGUUUUCAGAUUAUUCUAUCCUCAAGUAUUGGUUUAUUAUUGAGGAAGCCUUAAACGCAGGAGCUGAAUGUUGUUUUUUAUCUUUUGUCAAAGUCCUGAAUGGUCCAAUGAAAAUCUUGGUACGUACAGUUUCAGAGCUUCAUCCCAUUGUAGUAGGGCAAAAUGGUAUGCAGAGUGUUGAAAGCUUCAUUUUGGUCCAUUAGGUAGUUUAUAGCUUUGUCACUGGAGGUCUGACAAUAAUCGCAGCUUGUGAAAAUUAUAUAUGGCCAUGAGUGCUCAAUAGUUCUCCAUGCAACACAGCUAAUUAUUGAAUCUGUAAUACAUGCUUGUUUCUGGCAGAAGCUUAUUUGAUGAAUUAGCAUUGUGUAAAGUCUUUCUAAGCUCACUUCUCUUUUCUUUCUAUAAACUGGACGACCAGGAUAGAUUUCUCAAUACCAUUUUCGGAUUGUUUAAGCACUGAACAAUGUUAACAGGUUUACCAUUUCUCAUCUCUUUAUGAUAUGCGUAGGUAUUCUGGCAUCUCAAUUUGUCCCCAACCUCUUUCACCGGCCCAUAAAUUAUCUGUCUCUAGGUCUCCACAAUUGUAUUUUGGUGCAGAAAAACAAAGAACUAUUUUUGGCUCAGCUACUUUAUAGGUAUCGUGUACGUUGUCAUGGAUUUGAUGUCAUGUAGUUCCAGGUGUAUUAUUAUACUCCCAGUCUUAGUAUUAGAAAAACAAUAACUAUUUUUGCCUCAGCUACUUUAUAGGUAUCAUGUACGUUGUCAUGGAUUUGAUGUCAUGUAGUUCCAGGUGUAUUAUUAUACUCCCAGUCUUAGUAUAUGAAGGCGUGAUAUAAUGUUAC
rnacentral:lncRNA from 1 species